rnacentral:misc_RNA from 1 species
UGGAGGCAGACAUCUAUCGAGAUGGA